rnacentral:rRNA from 1 species
UACGUAGGUGGCGAGCGUUGUCCGGAUUUACUGGGCGUAAAGAGCGCGCAGGCGGUCGUACAAGUCGCGUGUGAAAGCCCCCGGCUCAACUGGGGGGAGGCACGCGAUACUGUUCGACUCGAAGGCAGGAGAGGGAGUGGAAUUCCCGGUGUAGUGGUGAAAUGCGUAGAUAUCGGGAGGAACACCAGUGGCGAAGGCGACUACCUGGCCUGUUCUUGACGCUGAGGCGCGAAAGCUAGGGUAGCAAACGGG